UCAUUCAGCCUGCUAUUCAGAAUUUUAUGUCACUACAGCCAUAUAAAAUGUCCUCCGUUCUCUUACCUUCAAAGCGACAUAAUGAGGCCCUUAAAACACGGGUAAAUGCGCGGGGGCCUUGAUAAAGCUGUGGAUACAGCGAAACGCGUUGGUUUGGAGGAGCCGUGCAUCACUGAAUUUAUCAUCUAUACCCAGAACAAGCCUAGAAGUCCAUCAGCAAUUGGGAAAUUUGCAGAAGUCCACAAAGGCGCCAGAGAUCCAGCUUUGAAUAGGACUGAAUCUGGUCCGGAACCAAGCAAAUAAAGGUGGAGUAUCUGGCAGGAUCAGUCUAGGUGUCUUUUUUUUGUGGGUAUUUUUUUUUAACUGACUAAUUGUAAAGACUAUUAUACCCCCUUUUGCUGAUACUAGAAGUCACUUUGGUUAUUACAUGCCUUGUUUGAAACCAUUGGAUCUCCGUCUUAUGCUUUGUCCCCAAACUACUUGGUACCUUCCAAUAUACUGUAAGUUACAGGAAGGGUACAUUCUCUCUUACUAAGAUUUGGAUAUUGCCUGUGAAAAUACAUGUAUACCAUACUUACAGUAUAUGCCUCUUGACAUUUAGAUUAACUAACUAAGGUCAAGCAAAGUGGUUGCCUGCGCAGUCUCAGAUUCUGAGCACUAUUUAUCCAAAAUGUUCCUAUCGUACUUAGAAUGGACACCAUGGGGGUAGGUAACAGAAUUUGAUUUUGUUGUGCGUGAAGAUGCAGCAUGUACCAAAGACACCCUAUAAGCAUGACUCAUUGGGAUCAAUGAUUCUACAUGUAAUUUUGCUAUAUGAACUCAACCUUUACGGUGGGUACACACUGCCUUUCGAUAUGGACUAGACGGGAGCACGCAUCACAUGAGACAAUACACAGUGCGAUUUGUACAAGACGUGAUGCUAUUUGAACUAAAAUGAUCAAAUAGUAUGCGAGAAUCGCACCGUGCAUGGGCACCAUUACUAUAGCAUAAAACUGAUUCGUACAGCUUAUCAGGGAUAACCGUUUUAUUAAAGCUCAGGACUUUCAUAACGUAAACCUCUUUUGUGAGAGAUUUGCUGGAGUUACAAAAAUAAAAAGCAGCUCUUAAGCGUUGAUAAAUGUUAAUGCAGUGCUGCAGGCCUAUUGUGGGGUGUGUAUCGGGUCAGCAUACCGAUGCCAGGAUCCUGGCAUUGAGAUGUCCGGCGUGGGGAGGUGGUGGAGUGCAACAAAGCCCCUUACGGGCUCACCACAGGCUCUAUUCCCACUCUAUGGGUGUCGUGGGUAACAGCCCUUGUUAGUCAGCAAGCCCACUGUCAGCAUUGUGGGUUGUAGGUGCCAGUAUUGUGACUGGCGGUCUCCUGACCGCGGUCACAUAACUACAUGCCCUAUUGUGAAGUGUUAUCCUAAGAUACAAGAACCUGCACUUCUCAAACUAAUUUUGCAGUUCUCAUCUUAAUUACAUUGUGUGAAAUUGUCGGUUUCCUUUUUCAAAAUGUUUUAUGCAAUUUUUUUGCAUUUUGGGACAUCUGCUGCAUUAUUAUAAAUCUUUCUCCAGGCUUUGAUUAAUCACACGUAAAAUGAUAAACUUUGAAUGAACAUACUUUUUGUAUUGCUUAGUCUCAGUUUUAGUGACUGUGGCCCUGGAUAGUAUCAAAUAUGGCUCCUUAUCCGUCAUCUCAAAUAAACAUAACAAAAUUCUCUAUGCUAGGGUCCAUAAGGUCUUUAAGCAUAUAACUCUCUAAAGUACUGUUGAUGUAACCCUGUGUCUCUUUAUUCAUUCAUGUGAGAUACUGUCCUUUUAAAUGAAAUAUUACACAUGCCCACUCUGUAUGUGACUCUCCCCUGUAUGUUGCAGAAGAGGGGGGAAAAUAUUAUUCUAUUGGGGUUUUUCUUUCUGUAGCCUUUGUCGUCUUCUGAUUUUUUUUAAUAAUUUGUAAUGUCUUAUUGAGUGGACAAU